AUUGAACGCUGGCGGCAGGCCUAACACAUGCAAGUCGAACGAGCGGCGGACGGGUGAGUAAUGUCUGGGAAACUGCCCGAUGGCGGGGGAUAACUACUGGAAACGGUAGCUAAUACCGCAUACCAUCGGAUGUGCCCAGAUGGGAUUAGCUAGUAGGUGGGGUAACGGCUCACCUAGGCGACGAUCCCUAGCUGGUCUGAGAGGAUGACCGGCCACACUGGGACGGAGACACGGUCCAGACUCCUACGGGAGGCAGCAGUGGGGAAUAUUGCACAAUGGGCGCAAGCCUGAUGCAGCCAUGCCGCGUGUAUGAAGAAGGCCUUCGGGUUGUAAAGUACUUUCAGCGGGGAGGCGUUACUCACAGAAGAAGCACCGGCUAACUCCGUGCCAGCAGCCGCGGUAAUUC
rnacentral:rRNA from 1 species